rnacentral:lncRNA from 1 species
AAAGUUUUUUAGGCCUACAGAUUGUUAAUAUGUAUUCUGACUUUUUUUCCUUGGAGUCUUGUAUAUUUAUAGUUUUCUAUAUAAACUGUAGUAUCUUCAUGAAGACUGAGGCUCAAACUUACUGUGCUUAAAAACAAUUCUCAUAGGAUUAUUAUUUUCAUGGUAUUUUCUUCCAUAAUAUCUCAUUUUUAAAAGAGGUUCUUUAUGAACUUGGUGUCCAUUGUCAUGCAAUGUUAUUUUUUUUUUCCUUUUUUCCUCCCUGUAAGUUUAGAUGUUCUGGUCUUGGGGAAGAGAAUCAAAACCUUAAGUUCUAUGAGCACAUGGGUCAUUGACAUAUUUCACUGAAGAAAGAAAAAUUAAAUUGAUAGUAAUACAUAGUCCUCAAUUGUUUAUUUAAGCUUUUUGUAUUAGUUCCUACUGUCACUUUAGUUCCUUUAUUAUGUGUUUGAUUUUUUUUACCCUAUUAAAAUAUCAGAAAUAUGGAGAUAUUUUGCACUUUAGCCUUGAUGAAAAGUACAAGAUAUGUUCAAAGCUUCCCUAAUUCUUUUCUUAUUGGUAGCCACAUAAGUUUUGAGAACAAUGUGGUACAUGGAGAAAAUAGGUUUGCUUCUGUUUGAAAAGUGUGCUUAGCAUUUUAAGUUGCUAUACCAGUGUAUAAAUUUGGUGCUCUGCUAAUUAUACUCUGUAGAAGCAGAUUAAUGGAGCUUAAGCCCUGCUUUGAUAAAUAGUGAAAGGUAAUUCUGUAGAAGAAUGUCAGCCACUACAACAGGGUGAAGUUAUUCUACUCUUACUAGUUUUAUAUUACAGGACAGUGUUGACUGGGAGCCAGAAGGCUUUAUGCUAACAGGUCAGAAAAAAGAUUGACUUAUAUGUUAUUUUCAUUCCUGUCCUGAUUGUAGGUAUGUUUUAAAUUUUAUAUUAUCCACAGUAUUUACAAAGACAUGUUUUGCAUUGAGAAAUUAACCCCAAAGGGUUUUGAGAGGAGGGAGUAGACCUCCAAUACCGAUGUAACUAAAGUCUGUCUAGUCAUUGUAAAUAUUUAUCUGUCAAUUUUGACAGAUUGGGGCCAGCUUGAUGUUUUAAAUCUUGAGUAUAAAAAUUUAAAGCCUUAUUCAAUUUUUUACCAUUUUAUUGAAUAUAUUUGAAAUCUGUUUUUACAGUGUUUUUGGUAAUUGUGCCAUGAAAUUUGAAAACCACCAAAAAUUAAGAGAACUUUUAUAAAUUCCUUUUCUGGUGUAAUGUUAAGUUGUAUAGAUUAUUAAUGCAUGUCCAAUGAAUAUAACCCUGGUUUUGUGAUAAAUCUGCUUAGAUUUUAUUGGUGACAUGUUAGAUUAGUGGUUGCAUCAAAUAACUAAAUUCCCCCCCCCCCAA